UGAUUUGUGAUGAUAUGGCCUAGAUAGGCAAC
rnacentral:sRNA from 1 species